AGUAGGAUAGCUGGGUCAAAUGGUGGGUCCAUUCCCAGAUUUCCAAGGAAUCUCCAUACUGCUUUCCAGAAUGGUUGUAGCAAUUUGCAGUCCUACCAGCAAU
rnacentral:pre_miRNA from 1 species